UGAGGAAUAUUGGUCAAUGGGCGCAAGCCUGAACCAGCCAAGUAGCGUGCAGGAUGACGGCCCUAUGGGUUGUAAACUGCUUUUAUACAGGAAUAAAGUUAGCCACGUGUGGUUAUUUGUAGGUACUGUAUGAAUAAGGACCGGCUAAUUCAGUGCCAGCAGACGCGGUAAUACGGAAGGUCCAGGCGUUAUCCGGAUUUAUUGGGUUUAAAGGGAGCGUAGGCCGUCUGUUAGGCGUUUUGUGAAAUGUAGAUGCUCAACAUCUGAAUUGCA
rnacentral:rRNA from 1 species